AGGUAACUAACGAUUGGGCAACUGGGUGAAAGAAGAAUCCCCAAAUCCCCAAUGCCCCCGUCUGAUUCCAUCCCAACCGACGAGGGUACCGACGGCGACCAACUGGGUCGCCGGCGCACCGCUCCCUCAGCGCACAACGCCAACCAACUGGGGCACCACGAAGCGACUGCACGGCUAGCCGCAGCGACACGGCGCUAACCACCCGCUGGCGGCAGCAGCAGACGCUACCUACGGUGGCGCUGGCCCCAGGCGACCGGCCGGCCACGGCGAUGUCCCCCCCGCGCGUUGCUGACCCCAAGAGACGACGAAGCUCUGCUGGUUUCCUGGCUUAAGCUGUGUUUUCUGAACUUGUAUUGGCUGAAGCUGUCUUUUCUGAAGAUAGAUAUGUUGUUUCAGGAAAGUUUGGCUGAAGCUGUGUUUUCUGGAUCAAUUCUUAGUAGCUGAAUCAAUGGUUAUAUGAUCUGCUGGAUGUACAGAUUUGUAAUUGCGCAUUGAUUCGGCUAAACCAAUGUACAUGUACAGGAAUCAAUGUGAUUGUACACAGAAUACUUGAAUGAAUGAUACAUGAAAUAUUUGUUGAUUUCCUA
rnacentral:lncRNA from 1 species